rnacentral:rRNA from 1 species
GACGAACGCUGGCGGCGUGCCUAGUACAUGCGAGUCGAACGCAUUUUCUUUCACCGUAGCUUGCUACACCGAAAGAAAAUGAGUGGCGAACGGGUGAGUAACACGUGGGUAACCUGCCCAUCAGCGGGGGAUAACACUUGGAAACAGGUGCUAAUACCGCAUAAUUCCAUUUACUGCAUGGUAGAUGGAUGAAAGGCGCUUUUGCGUCACUGAUGGAUGGACCCGCGGUGCAUUAGCUAGUUGGUGGGGUAACGGCCUACCAAGGCUGCGAUGCAUAGCCGACCUGAGAGGGUGAUCGGCCACACUGGGACUGAGACACGGCCCAGACUCCUACGGGAGGCAGCAGUAGGGAAUCUUCGGCAAUGGACGCAAGUCUGACCGAGCAACGCCGCGUGAGUGAAGAAGGUUUUCGGACCGUAAAACUCUGUUGUUAGAAAAGAACAAGGAUGAGAGUGGAAAGUUCAUCCCUUGACGGUAUCUAACCAGAAAGCCACGGCUAACUACGUG